rnacentral:rRNA from 1 species
CGUGCAGGCGGCUCGGUAAGAGAGAUGUGAAAUGCCCUGGCUCAACCAGGGAACUGCAUCUCUGACUGCCGAGCUUGAGCAUGGGAGAGGAUGCGGGAAUUCCCGGUGUAGCGGUGAAAUGCAUUGAUAUCGGGAGGAACACCAGUGGCGAAGGCGCGCAUCUGGCCCAUUGCUGACGCUCAGGCGCGAAAGCUAGGGGAGCAAACA